rnacentral:rRNA from 1 species
CACGUAGGGCGCGAGCGUUGUCCGGAAUUAUUGGGCGUAAAGAGCUCGUAGGCGGCCUGUUGCGUCCGCUGUGAAAGCCCGGGGCUUAACCCCGGGUCGGCAGUGGAUACGGGCAGGCUAGAGGUAGGUAGGGAGAAUGGAAUUCCGGUGUAGCGGUGAAAUGCGCAGAUAUCGGGAGGAACACCGGUGGCGAAGGCGGUUCUCUGGGCCUUACCUGACGCUGAGGAGCGAAAGCGUGGGGAGCGAACAGG